ACCCUCUCAGGAUCGCACCUGGAGAGUUUCUAGCACUCUACCAGUUUUGGCUACAGGAGGGAGAGUCAAGCAGAGGCAUUUCCAUAUCUAGCUUGGGCAGUGGCUAGCGAGUGGAAGGCAAUCUGCUACAAGU